AUACCCCAGCAAACCAUGUUGUUAUAUGCGCCUUCCCGUUACAUAACAUCCCUAAGAAAUGAGGUAUAUACCUGAUACAUCUCAAAACUAAUGUAUCUGAUACAUAACAUUUCAUAUAUCCAUGAAAUUAUUUGACUUAUUCAUAUAUCAUAUAUGUAACAUUGUUAUAUUACUGAAGUUACGUAUAUGAUACAUCUUCCAGCAUCCCUAAAAACAAUAUAACUCUGAUAUCUACUAGUGUGUAAUAUAGUUACAUAUCAUAUAUGUAACAUUCGCAAUAUAUAUUUUACAUUGCUAAUAUUAUGUGAAAGCUAUGUAAAUAUAGCAUAUUCAUGAUAUAUUACUCAGAUCUAUACAAGUACUCUUAUAAUACAUAACCUUUAUUAAAGUUGAACUGUUUAGAGAUUUUUGCCAGGACUAGUGCAGUGAAAAGUGAUAUGCAUUUUCUAACUUUUGAUUGUUAGUUAGAAGUGAUGAACUAUAAUAAUAAUAAUAUUCAAUAUUCUUUGAUUUUUCAUCAAUUCCGGAUUACUUUCAUCGUGGAAAUAUGUGAGAUAAGAAGUGAAAAACUGUAAUAAUAAUAUUCAACAUUCGAUGAUUUUUCACCAAUUCCAGAUUAGUUUCAUAGUGAAAAUAUGUGAGGUUUUGCAUCUCAAUCUUUUAUCCAAUGUGCAGACUUUGAGAAGAUAGAUAUCAGCCGAGUGGAUAAGGCUGGCCACAUUGAGGAUCAAGAGACAAAAAUAAGUUUUGGUUGAUGUAGGUACUUUGAUUACAUUAAAAAUUUUCAAUAAU